CUUGAUUUUAAUAGUUUAAAAUAAUUAGGUAAUAAUGUUAAAUGUUAAUAGGAAUUCUCACGUUAAGUCGAAAACCAAUAAAACUUGAGAUAAACACGAUUCAAACAUGCUAAACGUACUUAAGGCGUGAAAAUUUCAAUAAUUAAAGCCUUGCAAGGUUAGAGUAUUAUUAGGCGUUCAAAUUACACUUGGGGUUAAUUUUUGGACGUAAGUUAGAACCAAGGACUCACGUGGAGGUUAGGAGGACAAGUGAAUUGACUAAAUCACCCUCCACUACCUCACAAAUUACCAUGCAAACCCAUCAAAAUUUCCGGACAGCAUUAUGGUCAACCACCCUACUCGCCAAUGAAAAACUUUCACCAUUCCUACACUCAACCUCCUUCUCCAAAACCGCGGCACCAUCUCUCUUCCUCUUCACUCUUAUAUCACAAACCAUCACCAUUUCCAUUUCCUCUGCCUUAGACCGAGAAUAAAUGAGAGAGAAAACCUUGUGAGCCACCACCUUGUAAUCAUCGACCAAGGAGAGCUGUCCGCGAGCUGCAAAUUUUUUUCUGUUCUGUCCGCGAGCUGAGGGAAGAGACCAAGAGACCAUCGUCUGAGAACAACCGCUCCUGCAUUUUUUUUUCCUCUCCUAGCUGUGGCCAUCUUCAAUUCCAACCAAGUCGCAUUUCAUCAGUCCCAGCUGCAGCUUCAACCAGAAUCAGAACCGUACGUGAGAGCCGAGAGGAAGAAAGAAAAAUCAGAUUUCUUGUGCGUAGGCUUAGCUGGUAACUGAGAAAGUGAUUGCUUGAUGUCCAGAGCUAAUGAUUGACGAAGCUCUUGGCCAUUUGAAUGAUUUUAUAGGUAUUAAAGGGUGAUGAAAUUUAAUUGUUGGAAUUGCUUGGAGGCCUUACAUUUAUUUUGAUUUAGUUAAGAUAUGAUAUGAGCUUGCCAAAACCAAGUGCUAAUGAUUGACGAAGCCUUGGUCAUUUAUUUUAUUCUUGAUCAGAAAUGAAUCUAUCGAAAACUAGGGCUAAUGAUUGAUGAAGCCCUAGUGACUUGCUAUUGAAAUGUGAUUUUGAUGUGGUGGCAAACCUGAGCUAUAGUGUGAAUUCGAAGUGGCAAAAUUUACGAGAUAAUGCGUUGUGAAUCGGAAUAAGAAAUCCGUUUAAUUCCUAGAUUUGAGAAAGUUUCAAUUAAGCUAUUUAAAUAUAUCCUCGUGCUAGUAUGGAGCAAGAACACUUAGUAUUGUCUAUUAACGCCAAAAACUUUGUGUAGGGAUUUUGCCCUAAACUUUGUCAACUCAACAUUUUAUUUUACUUCCUUUAACUAAACUAGCCAAUGACUUUUCUAGCUCUAAAACCCUAGGUUUUGUUUUACUUCAUUUCUUAUCUCUAAAAAAUUGUUCUUGGCUAGUUGACUAUAGGAAAAGUUCCAAGAUACGAGUUUUAAUAAUUUUAAUUAAAAAUAUAGAAACUUGCUCGGCAAGAAACUUUAUUCUAGGUAAAAUAACUUUAGUGACAAUUUUUGCAAGAAACGUAACUUCAAAGAAAUGUUUCAAAGUAUAUUUCUAGCUUUGAUAUUAAGUGGUUUGCUGACUUAUUCAAGAAAAUAAUAUUAGUUACCCUUUUAUAUGGAAAAGUAUCUCAAGGAAAAACUACAAGAAACAUUUUCACUACUUUUGUCAAGCUUCAACCCAAGUAGAUUGUUGAAAUUACUUUGAGAAGGUUAUCUAGUAAAAUACUAGAUAAUCCACAAUACGUACAAGCUUAAAAAUUGAAUAGAGAACUUAUAGUUUCAAAUUUUGGUUUUUAGGAUAUUGCGAGGACGCGGAAUUCGAUUUCCAAUUUGAUAUCUGAACUUCACUCUUGGUUAAUGGAGAGUUGGCAUAUGGGAUCCAAGGCCCCCGCACAAAAGGGACCAAUUGACGAUAAUGUUCUGUAUCUAUAGCCCGAGCAUAGGUCCGGCGCAGUUUUCAAUGGCGUAGGUGCAGACCUUGAUGUUAGAAGAUGUGACAAAAAAUUCUUUCAACGCCUACGCAAUUUGGAUCCACGAGUGGCGCACUAUAUAGAUCAAGCAGGAUUUUGUGGUGUCCGAGUGACGGGAUAUCUUACUGUAGACCAUGGACUCAUCACAGCUCUCGUCGAGCGCUGGAGACAGGAGACACAUACUUUCCAUCUUCCAGUUAUGGGCGAGUCGACGAUAACUUUGCAAGAUGUAGAAGUGCUAUGGGAUCUACGCGUGGACGGACGUCCCGUUACACUGCAUCACGUUAGGCGAACUGUACAAGAGCGCAAACAUCUGGUGAACGACAUUUUAGGCUUUUGGCCGGAAGAUGCGAUGCUAAAAGGUGGCCGCCUGAAGAUGUCUUCUAUGUACAGACAGUUGAUUACGCUAGCACCGCCGGAUGCUCCUUAUGAACUGGUACGACAGUAUGCUCGCAUGUACAUAUUGAUUUUAUUGGGUGGUCUACUAUUCGCGGAUGCAUGCAGGAAUGUUGUUAGUCUAAACUGGUUAGACUAUGUUCGAGAUUUGGAAGCGAUGGGGAGUACAGUUGGGGGUCAGCGACUCUAGCGUGUUUAUACUCACGUUUGUGUCACGCUUGCCGUGUUUCUACUAUUACCACAUGCGGCCCUUAUCUAUUACUCCAAAUAUGGGCAUGGGAACGGAUUCCCAGCAUUCGACUGGAGAUGUAUCCAGCGCCUGAGACCGGUGAAUUUCCGGUAGUUGGUAGAUGGGCAGCCGAACGUACAGGGGUUGAUCCGCCGGGUAGGCGCAGCAGCUACUAUCGUGAACAUAUUGCAUUGCUACGCAUGGAUGAGUUCAUAUGGAUGUCGUACAGUGAGGAAAUAUUGGCCUCAUUACCACGAUACUGCAGAUACGGCGAGCGCAUUUGGCGUGAUAGAAUUCCCCUCGUAUUUUGGCACAUCAUUGAGUUUCACUGUUCAGAUCAGGUCAUGCGGCAGUUUGGACUAGUGCAAAACGUCCCCGAACCUGUUAACACAAAUCCGCAAGGGAUUCAUCAGCUCGAUUUGUCAGGCUAUCCUGGAAGGAAUUGGGCCCAAUUUCAUAGUGCGUGGAUACAAUAUUGGAAUGCUCGUGCAAAUGCGGAGGUCACAGGUCAACUUGCUGAUACAUUCAGACCAUCAAAUGAUUAUCUCAAAUGGUAUCACGAGCACACUAUUCUAUAUAUUUCGAACCCUAGUGACCAGAAUUCGGAGAUGGGCCAAAUGCUUCAGGAAGUCUCUGGGUAAAUUGAAUAUCUGAUGGGUGCUAUGUAGCGUAUUGGUCAGCAGACACAGGAUGUUAUCAAUAUUGAUGAUAUCGGAGAAAGAGCACAUCCACGUCUCUGGACCAUCAUGGAUGGUGCAUAUGGUUCGAUGCAGUAUCUCAGACCGUUUGAUCGUAUGGU